AAAGACCCUAUAAAGCUUUACUAUUUCAUGGGAUUGGCUUUGGUCCUUUCCUGCGCAGCUUGUAUGGAAGGCAAAAAAGUCCUCCUUCUGAGGCGGGUGGGGGAGAUGAGGCAUCAGUAAGAUACCACUUUGGAAGAAUUAGAAUUCUAACCUUGUGUCAAGAUCAACGGGUCAAGGGAUAGUCUCAGUAGACAGUUUCUAUAGAUGGUAGGCCUCCCAAAAGGUAACGAAGGUGUGCAAAGAUUUGUUCGGACCGAAAGAAGAUUGAACCUAGAGUACAAAGGCAGAAGAGAGCUUAACUCUAAGACCCACCUGCCAAACAGGGACAAAAGUUGGCCUUUGUGAUCCAAUGGUGCCAAGUGAAAGGGUCGUCACUCAAUGGAUAAAAGUUACUCUAUGGAUAACAGGUUGAUAUUCUCCAAGAGCUCACAUUGACGAGAAGUUUUGCCACCUUGAUGUCAGCUCUUCACCGCCUGGGGUUGUAGUAUGUUCUAAGGGUUGUCGCCCAUUAAAGCGGUACGCGAGAUGAGUUUAAAACGUCGUGAGACAAAUCAGGU
rnacentral:ncRNA from 1 species